rnacentral:rRNA from 1 species
AGUAACACGUGGGUAACCUGCCCGGAAGUGGGGAAUACCUCGGGGAAACUCGAGCUAAUGCCGCAUAAAUCUCCGGGACGAAAGUCCUGAUGAUCAAAGCGGGGUCGCAAGAUCUCGCGCUACCGGAUGGGCCCGCGCCCGAUUAGCUAGUUGGUGAGGUAAUGGCUCACCAAGGCAACGAUCGGUAGCCGGCCUGAGAGGGUGAUCGGCCACACCGGAACUGAGACACGGUCCGG